UACGAAGGGGGCAAGCGUUGUUCGGAUUUACUGGGCGUAAAGGGCGCGUAGGCGGUCGUGACAAGUCACUUGUGAAAUCUCCGGGCUUAACUCGGAACGGUCAAGUGAUACUGUCGGACUAGAGUACAGAAGGGGCAACUGGAAUUCUCGGUGUAGCGGUGAAAUGCGUAGAUAUCGAGAGGAACACCUGCGGCGAAGGCGGGUUGCUGGGCUGAUACUGACGCUGAGGCGCGAAAGCCAGGGGAGCGAACGGG
rnacentral:rRNA from 1 species